GGCAGUGUGGUGCAGUGGUUUGAGUGUUGGACUAUGACUCUGGAGACUAGGGUUCAAAUCCCCUCUCAGCCA